rnacentral:tRNA from 1 species
GGGAAUGUGAUUCAGUGGUAGAGUAUUUGCCUCGCAUGCACAAGACCCUGGGUUCAAUCCCUAGCACUGCAA